rnacentral:tRNA from 1 species
AAAUGAUGGUUUAACCCCUUCCCCUACUA